UCAAUCUCUAUCACUCAAGUCUGCUGUCGUUGGAAAUCCCCGAUGGACAUCAUCAGGAGAAAUCAGCUUUGCUGGGGCUGGUCGAAGAUGCUCUUUACCGCGAGUUGCAGAGACAUGCUGCUGAGACUGAUAGGUACAUUGAACUUCAGUGUGUGAUGGAUCAUGAAGGUGUGUUGUCAAUCAUAAGAGGAGGAGAGGAAUCUUUGGAUUCGUAUUCUUCAAUAACAGAUUUCAAGCAGAAUUUGGACGAAGAAGCUUUGGCACAUGAGAAAUUGGAAAGCGGAUGGGUUUUGUAUGAGGAAAUAUUAGACCAACACAAAAUCAUAGCUCUGCUAAAACACUUUGCAUCGCAAAGUUGGAUGCACUUCCACACUCUGAUACAAUGUUGGGGAGUGGUGAAAGUGGAGGGGAGCCAUCACUACCUCUCUUCCUCACACCACUCUUUUUUUUUUAACAGUCUCAGCAAGGGGUCAUGUUCGUACAGGAAGUUAUGUAGCAAUCAUUGUUAGAAGAUACCGAAGAUUUGGGCAGAAGAUUGGGAGAAUAAUUUGCUAUGAUUUGAUUGUAAUUUGUUACUUAAGGUAGAUGGGAUCCCUAUAAUCAAGGAUUACCAUAUAGGAAUAUAUUCUAUGCCUACAAAUAUUGUAUCAAACGUUGUAAUUAUCAUUCAGUAAAUAAACCAAAAAUCUUCUCCCUAUUA